ACGGGACCUGGCCGUAGAAGCAAAGCGGAAAGAAAAUGGCGGCCGUGGCUGCGGAGCCAGGAGCUGUUGCGGUAUCAACAACAACAGCGGGGGACUGUGGUGAGCACGAACCGGUGCCAGCUGUGCCGGGGGCCAAACUCGACUCCGAUGCAACGCAGCAGUACGCGCCAGUAAUAGACCUUGUUCACCAACUCAAGGAUGGGGAUGCAGUUCAGGAAUGCGGCCAGGUCCAAAUGGAGCUAGUGAGCAGGCCAGACCAAGAAGCCGCGGGAAAAGUCCUCGCUGCUUGUGCAGAGGAUGAACACAUCGAUACAGGAUGUCUCAUGGUCGGCGUAGAAAAUACCGAUAACCAUUCUCGCGAGGGCUAUGGUUCGAAAUACACAAUGUCGAGGGCAGAACGUUUGAAACAAUUUUUUUCGCCUAAUGUUGAUCCUGCAAACGAGCUCAGUAAGCACGAGCCCUACGCCUGCCAUCAGAAUAGCUCCAUCUCCGAUUCACAGCCAUCGGUGGUCUUUUUGCAUUCGUUCCCUGCGCAUCCUGUGACUACGGAGGCUGGGCUGUCGUUGGCAGAACCAGCAGAGCCCAUGAUCAAUUACUAUCAAAACACAGAAUUAACCCAACCUACUAUUAUCGAGUGUGACUAUAGAGCUUUAAUCAAACCGUCCCACGAGGCAGAACUGGAGCCCGAAUCAGCAGAUGAUGCUCCUUCUGGUACCGAGUACAAGGCCGAGUCUUCGGAAGAUGCCUCUCUUGAACACCCCCAGUCCAUAGAACACGUCGACUCUCCGCCAGUUCUAGAGACGGAGAGACUCCUUGGAACACCCAUGGAGACUGGAUACAUUUAUGACUUUUCGAGCAUCACAAACCAGAACUCUCCGAGUCCCGAGCUUCCUGUAAUGGCAGUGGGUCAGGUUCCCUCCUCGGCAGAACUUGGGGACUCGUGCUCACGACAGCGGAGUUUGGAAACGAACUUCCACGAGAGCGAGACCGUAAUGAAACCCCCUCACCCCAUGCCCGUUGCUGAAACUGAGGAGGUACAGUCCGAGUCAGUGGACAAUCUGAUACCUGGUUCCGAAGUUCGAGUAUCUCUGGAUCACAUCAUCGACGACGCACUGGUGGUGUCCUUUCGGUUAGGCGAGAAGAUCUUCUCUGGGGUUCUGAUGGACCUCUCUAAAAGGUUUGGACCCUAUGGAAUUCCAAUCACUGUGUUCCCAAAGAGAGAAUACAAGGAUAAACCUGAAUCUAUGCAGCUAAAGACAGAACCAUUCCAGCCAGAGAAGGUGGAAAAGCCAGUCCAGGAAAACCCUGACAGCCAAGUUGUCGCAAUCCCCGAACCAAACCCUGACCCCCAGCCUAAGCUUAACCCAUGGACUUCAAAACCUCCGCCACUGUUUCAGGAGGGAGCCCCUUACCCUCCACCAUUGUUCAUCAGGGACACCUACAACCAGUCGUUACCUCAGCCGCCCCCCCGCAAGAUCAAGCGGCCCAAGCGCAGGCUGUAUCGCGAGGAGCCCACCUCUAUCAUGAACGCCAUCAAGUUGCGGCCCCGCCAGGUGCUCUGUGACAAGUGCAAGGGGACUGUCAUGACCGUGGACAAGAGGGAGCCACGUAGAGGCCCUGUGUCGGACUCUAGGGGCGAGGACGCCAAGCGGAGACGCAACGACAGUGCAGCUACUGUCAGCAAGCGGCCGCGUAAUGACCCUCGCUCUGAGGAGAAGCGCCAUGCUGCUGAGGUGUCCAAACGACAGGCCUCAGGGAUACGAGUCUCCUCUUCCUCUUCUCUGGGCCAGGUGAAGGGCGGAGCUGGAGGGAACAGGGUUCUGAGGACAACAUCCACCACAACAACAUCACCGGUCAACAGCAGCUCCAGAGUCCAGCUCAAUGCCAAGAAAGUGCUGCAGAGCAAAAAUGUUGAUCACUCCAAGGCACGGGAGGUGCUGAAAUUGGCCAAGGCGCAGAAGAGGCAGAGGGAGACUACAGUGGUCACUGGUAGCAGUGGCAACGCCAAGACGAUGACGAGGGCCGCUGCCCUGCAGGAGGCCCACGCCCACCAGAAGGUCCACUUCACCCGACGGCUGCAGCAGAUCAGCGGGGUGGGACCAAGCAACGCCACCCCUCUCCCACCCAGGAUGCGCAUCAAGCCUCAAAGGUACCGUAAUGAAGAGAAUGACUCUUCUACAUGUAAGCCGCCUUGCCUCGAGAAAGUGCCGGGAAGUGGCCGUUUGUCCCCUCCAAAGCCAGGCGCGCCCCGCUGCACCUCCACGCGCUCCUCCUCCUCCUCCUGCUCCACAGGCGAGGCCACUGCUGCUGAAAACCAGGGUCCAGAUAAAGGGCCAGAACCUGAGCUCAGUCCUCAGACUCAAUCCCAGCCCCAAGUGGAACCCCUCACAGCCACGGAGCACAGCGACCCCAAGGUGGAGCCAGAGGAGCAGGGGGGGCGGGAGGAGAGGCGGGAGACGCGCGGCAGCAAGGCUGGCAACCUUGUGGUGUACAUGACCCUUAACCCCAGCCAGCCUGACUCCUCUAAUACCUCCAUGUGCAGCAUUGAUAGUGCAGAUGACUUAAAGUCUUCAAACUCAGAGUGUAGCUCCACCGAGACCUUUGACUUUCCCCCUCCCGGUGAUUUGCACUCGCCCCCCGCCCCUGGCACGUCCUCAGCAGUCACUGACCCCUCGCCUGCACCUACGGAAGAGAAAACCCCUCGUAAAUCUCAGAAAGUGUUUUCCAAAAAUGUGUCUAAGUGUGUCUCUCUGGACGGCAGGAGCAUUUGCGUAGGGGACAUCGUUUGGGCCAAAAUAUAUGGUUUCCCUUGGUGGCCAGCCCGUGUCUUAGGCAUCCAGAUCAGCCGCAAAGAUAAUGGGCUCUUAGUCAGGCAGGAGGCCCGUGUCGCCUGGUUCGGUUCACCCACCACCUCCUUCUUGGCACUUGCACAGGUCGCCCCCUUUCUAGAAAGCUUCCAGUCACGCUUCGACAAGAAGAGAAAGGGCUUGUACCGUAAAGCCAUCACAGAGGCAGCCAAGGCUGCCAAGCAGCUCACUCCUGAGGUUCGCGCCUUGCUUACGCAAUUCGAGACGUGAGGUGGUGUGCUUUGGGGAAAAGGAAAGGUAGGCAAACAUGCCCCCCCUCCCCCCUUCCCCUCCCCUGCUAGUCACCUACCAUGUCCCUUCACCUUCCUGGCAGAAAGAAACUAAAUAUUUCAGGCCAGACAACCAGGACACCUCUUUUUUUUUCUAUUUAUCAAAAAGGGACUGAAUGGGUUGGGGUUAUACACAUUACUGCAUAUAUAAAAAUGGCAGUGUGUUUUUAUUUUAUCAUCCUUAUCAAAUUUCACUUAUUUAUCCAAAUUGGUGGAAAUCUGGUCGUUUUAUUUUUAACUUUUCUUUACAGAAUGGUUGGCGAUUGAAAUAUUCUCCUUAUCUUGAGGCCUUUAAGUUUCACUCUAUUUGCAAAGAAGCUUAUGUUAUGUUCUAACACCAUGGUUCAUAGGUCUGCUUGAUUGGCUGCCAAUUGUCAAAAUCUUAAGAGACAAAAAGUGUAUUUCUUUUAGUCUAUGCAACAAACGGUUCAGUCUCAGAUACUGUGAACGGAAAGUUACAGGAUCUAAGCAGCAGUAAAUAUGAUGUAUCUGUGCUGGUGGAAGACAUGUACUGUAGCUGUGAUGUGACGAGGAAGUGGACCCUGGUGGAUUUGAAGAGCGAGCAGUCAUAGGGGCUUAGGUACCUGCUGUAUCUCAGACACAGUCAGAGCUGACUGGCUGUGGGAGCUGGCUGCCGGGCCGGUAAGCUCUUGAUCACCGUGUGGCACACUGCCAGCUAGGGCUUUCCAGACAGUUGAGCUGGGGUUGUGAGGAUGUGCCUGUAAGCCAAAGUCACCUCAAGUGCCGGUGAGAGGAGGAUGGUGCCCUGUUUCUAAUCCUCUCUGAAAACAGAGAUGGUUGCAGGGCAGUAAAUACAGUACUGAGAGUGUGCCCGCUCAACCGGGCAGUGGGCACAUCCACCCCCCUCAUACCUGUCCAGUGCUACAUCAUUUGGUCCCCUUGGGCCACCUCACCUCUCCCCCUUUCUCUCUCCUCAUCUGACUCUGUCCUGUCUGUAGUCUCUAUACCUUAUGCUCCUCAGUUAACCAAGACUGUUUUAUUACUCUCUGGUCUUCCUAUCUAGCUCCUUGAUUUUGCAUGCUGUUAUACAUAGAAUGAUGCCCAAUUUGUUUUAAAAUCACUGAUUUGAAUUGUCUGCAUCGGGACAUUUUAAACAAAGAUGUUAGUUGAUGGAGCGCUGGCUUACUAUGAAAAUGAUAGAAUCAACUAGCAUUGACAGAGGGAAGCCAUUUUAGUUACUCCUCUCAUAUACGUGUGGUAUGGCACGUUACAGGGAUGAACAAUUUUUUCUCAGUUAUUUUGUAAAACUUUUACUAUGGGUUUGCCAUGUCUUGUUGACUUGUACUAAGUAGUUCAGUGAUUUCUCAGAGUUCUCAGUGUUCAGCUGUUACUCAACCCUAUUUGAGUUGGAAUGUGUUUGACUUUAUUUGGUGCUUCUGAACUCGAUCUUCUAUCACUUCACUGCUUGGCUGAUCUCAUACGACUGCAAAUCUUGAUUUUAUAUAUUAUGUACAGUACAAUCUGUAUCAAAUUAUUUUUAGUGGAUUUUUCUGAUGAAUAAUGGAAAAAGGUUUUUUUGUUUGGCUGAAGUUGGGGGAGGGUGGUGAGGAAAGGUUACCUCACCUGUUGUGUAAUUAUAUGGGUUCAGAACAGAUUUGACCAUUUCAUUACCAAUGACAAAUUACAUUUCCUAAAGAUGUUUGUUCAUUUACCUACCUACAUACCUAUCCACUCUGACUAAAUAUUAAGGGACAGACAGUAAGACCAACAUCGCCUCACCUUUGCCCUUUUGGCCCGAACAGGUAGAGAUCAGAGGCUUAUUGCUUGGUAGAGUACACUGACCUGACCAUUGUUACAAGCAGAGACAAAGUGUAUUAUGAUGGUUGGCUCUGUUUCUUCUAUUUUGGACAUCAUCUGUUUGCAGAUCAGAGAAGGCUGUAUAGGUGGGAAAAAACUGUUGGAAAAAGUAACAGUUGAAGAAUACUUGUGUAAAUGUUUUCUGAUGUUUUUAAAAAGUAUUAUAAAUAAAAUGUCAACUUCAAGAAUCUUACCUAGUUGUCUUCAUUUUAGUGCUCCUACUUCCAUUAACACCUACAAAUCCAAUGCCAUUUAUAAGGCUUCAGUUUCACCUUGAAACAAGCUGGAAUAAAAACAUUGGUCAUUUGGAAUUUGGGAUAUUUCUAUUGUCCCCCUCGUACUAAAAUGGGGGCAUUUUAAGUUGACUAUGACCAUGCCUUUUAAAUUGUGGCUUGUGGUCUUUAUAAUAGCUGCCAUUAACUGCAAAUGUUUGUGGGGCUUUUAUGAAAUAGCAGACCUGUAGAAAACUACUUGCCAGUCAAGCCCCUGUUUACCACUUGAGGCUAUUGGUACAUUAACAAUGAGAGGAAAGGGCUGAAUGUGGAGAAUUUUUUGGGGGGAGUAAAAUCAUUCCUUUUAUUGAACAGAUUUUCUUACCUGCAAACAGAUCUAGGACAUUGACGUCAUAUGCUAAUAGAAGCCAUUGUUCAAUGGCUGUCAGUCAGUGUAUCUGAAGCAAUGCAUCUUUGAAUGGCAUUGUGGAAUUUAACGUUUAGGGGGAGUUUGAUGGUUCUGUCCUCCUAAUUGUUUGUAAAUGAAAUAGUACUGAGAAGUAAUGUUUUGGUUUGAAAUACAAAUGAAAAGGCUACUUACCUUCCUAAUAUUGAGUUGCACCCCUGUUUGCCCUAAGAUCAGCCUCAAUUUGUCAGGGAAUGGACUACAAGGUGUUGAAAGCAUUCCACAAGGAUGCUGGCCCAUGUUGAUGCCAAUGAUUCCCACAGUUGUCAAGUUGGCUGGAUAUCCUUUGGUUGGUAGACCAUUUUUGAUACACGCAAACCGGUGCGCCCGGCAUCUACUAUCGUACCCCAUUCAAAGGCACUUAAAUAUUUUGUCUUUCCUAUUCACCCUCUGAAUGGCACAAAUCCAUAUUUAACCUGUCUCCUCUCCUUUAUCUACAGUGAUUGAAGUGGAUUAAAGGGGUAACAUCAAUAAGAGAUAGUUGCGUUCACCUGGUCAGUCUGGCAUGGAAAGAGCAGGUGUUCCUAAUGUUUUGUUCACUCAGUGUAUAUGUCCAUGUUCGGUAGCAGCAUACACAUAACAUUACGUAAAUAAAGGAGACGAUCCACACAGCAGCAGCAUUUCAAGGUUAACUACGUUAAAUCUCAAAGACAUUUGAAUAAUCAGUAGAGUAAAUGCAUGGCAGACCAGCAAACUGCUGAAAACGUUAUCACAGAUUACAAUGACUCAUUUGUGAUGUCUAUCUUGGUUUUACCACUGUCAAUCAGAAACCUGCUAGGCUGAGGCAUCCGUGCAGCAGAACUCAGGUAUAGAUCCCUCAUUGAGACGCACAGGACCCGUCCCAGAAUGCCUUAGAGGUGUCCUUGAGCCCAGAAAUGGCGCCAUUGCAACAUGAACAAUGCACCUGCUACAACGCUGAAGGGCUGCUGAUGGGUCCUUUACACUGCCAUUGGUUGAGAGACUGUCGGACGGAAGGACAUGUCCAGAAUUGGAGACGUCAUCGAUAUAAUUAUUUUUAUUUAAGUAUCGGAAGAAGGAACAUUUAUAUAUUUAUAAUAAAUUGCAGACCUACUCCAUCUCUGGGCCUGUCCAUCAUGCUGAAUACCAUUUGAUUUCUUUGAGCAGGCGUCCAUGUCCACAAGCAUGUGACCUUAGUUUGAGUGAGGACAUCUGCAGAGUAGACGAGCACUCUGACCAUUAUAGAUAUCUAUUACAUUUGUAUUACAUACAUGUUGACAGGACACAGGAUUUUGCAGGGUUUUUAGUAUGUUGAUCAGUGAUCUUGAAAUGCAAAGACAAAAAAAUGAAUAAAAACAAUACUAUGUAAAACAUUUAUAUUAAUGCAAUAAAGAUUGCAUGUGCUAUGCUAUUACAGUGCA